GACGAACGCUGGCGGCGUGCUUAACACAUGCAGGUCGAACGGAAAGGCCCUGCUUUUGUGGGGUGCUCGAGUGGCGAACGGGUGAGUAACACGUGAGUAACCUGCCCUUGACUUUGGGAUAACUUCAGGAAACUGGGGCUAAUACCGGAUAGGAGCUCCUGCUGCAUGGUGGGGGUUGGAAAGUUUCGGCGGUUGGGGAUGGACUCGCGGCUUAUCAGCUUGUUGGUGGGGUAGUGGCUUACCAAGGCUUUGACGGGUAGCCGGCCUGAGAGGGUGACCGGCCACAUUGGGACUGAGAUACGGCCAAGACGCCUACGGGAGGCAGCAGUGGGGAAUAUUGCACAAUGGGCGGAAGCCUGAUGCAGCAACGCCGCGUGCGGGAUGACGGCCUUCGGGUUGUAAACCGCUUUCGCCUGUGACGAAGCGUGAGUGACGGUAAUGGGUAAAGAAGCACCGGCUAACUACGUG
rnacentral:rRNA from 1 species